AGUGAACGCUGGCGGUAGGUCUAACACAUGCAAGUCGAACGGCAGCACAGUAAGAGCUUGCUCUUACGGGUGGCGAGUGGCGGACGGGUGAGGAAUACAUCGGAAUCUACUUUUUCGUGGGGGAUAACGUAGGGAAACUUACGCUAAUACCGCAUACGACCUACGGGUGAAAGCAGGGGAUCUUCGGACCUUGCGCGAUUGAAUGAGCCGAUGUCGGAUUAGCUAGUUGGCGGGGUAAAGGCCCACCAAGGCGACGAUCCGUAGCUGGUCUGAGAGGAUGAUCAGCCACACUGGAACUGAGACACGGUCCAGACUCCUACGGGAGGCAGCAGUGGGGAAUAUUGGACAAUGGGCGCAAGCCUGAUCCAGCCAUACCGCGUGGGUGAAGAAGGCCUUCGGGUUGUAAAGCCCUUUUGUUGGGAAAGAAAAGCAGCAGGUUAAUACCCCGCUGUUCUGACGGUACCCAAAGAAUAAGCACCGGCUAACUUCGCG
rnacentral:rRNA from 1 species